CACACUAGGUAUUACACUGUGUAUACAGCACACACACACACACUAGGUAUUACACUGUGUAUACAGCACACACACACACUAGGUAUUACACUGUGUUUACAGCACACACACACACUAGGUAUUACACUGUGUAUACAGCACACACACACACACUAGGUAUUACACUGUGUAUACAGCACACACACACACACUAGGUAUUACACUGUGUAUACAGCACACACACACACUAGGUAUUACACUGUGUAUACUGCACACACACACACUAGGUAUUACACUGUGUAUACAGCACACACACUAGGUAUUACACUGUGUAUACAGCACACACACACACUAGGUAUUACACUGUGUAUACAGCACACACACACACUAGGUAUUACACUGUGUAUACAGCACACACACACACUAGGUAUUACACUGUGUAUACAGCACACACACACACUAGGUAUUACACUGUGUAUACAGCACACACACACUAGGUAUUACACUGUGUAUACAGCACACACACACACUAGGUAUUACACUGUGUAUACAGCACACACACACACUAGGUAUUACACUGUGUAUACAGCACACACACACUAGGUAUUACACUGUGUAUACAGCACACACACACACACUAGGUAUUACACUGUGUAUACAGCACACACACACACUAGGUAUUACACUGUGUAUACAGCACACACACACACACUAGGUAUUACACUGUGUAUACAGCACACACACACACUAGGUAUUACACUGUGUAUACAGCACACACACACACUAGGUAUUACACUGUGUAUACAGCACACACACACACACUAGGUAUUACACUGUGUAUACAGCACACACACACACACUAGGUAUUACACUGUGUAUACAGCACACACACACACUAGGUAUUACACUGUGUAUACAGCACACACACACACUAGGUAUUACACUGUGUAUACAGCACACACACACACUAGGUAUUACACUGUGUAUACAGCACACACACACACUAGGUAUUACACUGUGUAUACAGCACACACACACACUAGGUAUUACACUGUGUAUACAGCACACACACACACACUAUAUAUGACACUGUGUAUACAGCACACACACACACUAGGUAUUACACUGUGUAUACAGCACACACACACACUAGGUAUUACACUGUGUAUACAGCACACACACACUAGGUAUUACACUGUGUAUACAGCACACACACACACUAGGUAUUACACUGUGUAUACAGCACACACACACUAGGUAUUACACUGUGUAUACAGCACACACACACACUAGGUAUUACACUGUGUAUACAGCACACACACACACUAGGUAUUACACUGUGUAUACAGCACACACACACACUAGGUAUUACACUGUGUAUAC